rnacentral:rRNA from 1 species
AGCUCCAAUAGCGUAUAUUAAAGUUGUUGCAGUUAAAACGUUCGUAGUCGACCUUUUUCUUUUGGAUUGUCUGACCCAUUUGGAUCGGAUGGUUACGAAAGAUUUGUGGUUCAGGGCUUAAUAACUCUGAACUCAUACUUUGAGUGAAUCAGCAUGCUCCAAGUAGGCUUCGCCUUGUAUGAUCACCAUCGUCUAGAAACACUUUGGAACGGUUACCCCGCUUAGUAGCCGUUUCCAUACUGAUGAGAGCGGUUGAGGGCACUUGUAUCCGACUGCUAGAGGUGAAAUUCUUUGAUCAGUCGGAGACAAACUGUUGCGAAAGCAUUUGCCAAAGACGUUUCUU